AGGAGGCUGUAAUUGCUUGCACGCAACGCCGGAUGCAUCUGGUCUCAAUCAACGGUGGAGAGAAACACAGAAACUGCUUCAUAGACAGAUCCAAUAAAAAUGUGGGCCUUAUGUUCUAUGGAUUUCAGAAAAAGGAGAGCACAAUUUUGUACUGGACGAGUGGCAUGGCAGAGGGCAGAUCAUCGGCCUGCAAAACCGCAGCGUACUCAUGGUGCGCCGUCAAUAGAAGUACAAUCCAGCCAAAGUCAUUUGGACUUCGGAACGAACGAUCGAAUAAUAAAUGCUUGGCAAUCGACAUCACUACUGGAAAUUUGGGCAGACGCAGCUGUACCGACAAGAUUGCAUUUUUUUGCGAGUAUCAAUGCAUCAAUCCAGUGUGUCCUCCAGCAAGCUUCUGCAAGAGAGACGUAAAAUAUUGUGGUUU